rnacentral:lncRNA from 1 species
GCCAGCGAUAGAGUCCCUGCUCCAUUCGAGACCGAACAGCUUGGUGGAGGCGGCGUAGGUGCCCUUGACGGUAUCUCCUCCGGUGAACUUCUUGGUGACGGCGAACUCCCAGGCGUUCUUGUUGGUGUCGAAGAGGGGUUCGAUGGUGGUGAGGCGGUCGACCCCGUGCGCGUAGGUGUACUUGACGCGGCAGCCGCCGGAGCCGAGCGAGUGGGAGAGGGUGACCUUGUUGGCGGGGUCGAAGGUGACGCUGCAGUCAAGCGCGGUGCGGGAGGGCAGCGCGGCGGCGGGGGGCGCGGGGGCCGGGGCGAAACUGGUGGAGUGGGUGUAGGUGAGGCUGACCCGCUUGUCGAGCACGAGCGCGGAGUUCAUGAACUGGAAGCGCACAUCCUGCGGCAGCCGCCCCAAAUCGGAUAGGGGUAGGUGAGCGGGGGAGGAGGAGGAGGAGGAGGUAGGUGGAGACGCGAAGGAGACGAGCU